CGGAGGCUGGAGUUGGAAAGGCAGCCCAGGGUUUCCUCAGAGACCAAAAGAAGAAAAGACCCACCCACUCUAAAGAAAUUGAAAAUUGAACAAACUGGGAAAAACCUUUAGUUUGUUACUUUCCAGGACAAGCCUACACAGUACGUGCCACCCUAGACACAAACUAC